GGACUGGCUCACUUGAUAAGGCGUUUGCUUGGCGCGCGAGAUGUCGUUGGUUCGAGUCCCGGCGGGAAUCA